AUGUUCUAUGACAAGUGCAUGGAAAGAUUGAAAUCAGCUGGGAUAUUUGAAAUUGUUUAUUUCAUAUGGGACCCAUCUUUAGAGGCAAGGACGGAUGCUACACACCCUGAGGUCUUUGUACAUGCUUGGGGUUGGGGUGUAGGGCCCACCUUAGAGGCAAGUCUGCCUCUACACAUUGGUGAUGCUCUUAGGGAAAAAAGGAGCACCUGCAGCCUCCACCUUUCUCCUCCCACCGCAGUUCCGCCUCUACCAAUACCGUGCGCCGUCACCUCGCCCGCCGUCACCCAUGCCAUGUGGUCUCUGCCGCCCCUGCUCGCUCCCCCACUCCCUUCUCUACCCCGUCGCCCGCCCUACCCCUUUACUGCGGCAGGGGCAUGGCCGGAUCCUUGGCCGGCGAGUCGGAGGCAGCAUCAGCCGAUGGGGCUCACCGCGUCCACGUUUCUACCGGCGACCGGAGGAGAUGAGUCCGCAAGGAAGGGGAAUAGAUUAGGAGUCCUGCUGCUGUUCUGCGACAAACCUCCCUCCCUCGUGCCUUCUUCUGCCAUCGAGUGGUCACUGAUGGCUGGAGUGAUGCGCCUAUGGAAUGGUUGGGGGGUCCAGAUCCUAGUGCUUGUUAGCUUCAUGCUGCAAGUGUUCCUGCUCAUGUUCGCCGGGAUGCGACGGCGGAACAUCUCCAUUGUCCCAAUGAAUCUCCUCUGGCUAGCAUACCUGCUGGCAGACUACAUAGCGCUCAUGGCGUUCUGGGCGCCGUUCUUGCUGGUGCAUCUUGGUGGCCAGGACAACAUCACGGCCUACUACAUAGAAGACAACAAGCUCUGGCCACGCCACCUGCUCUCAUUUGUUAUGCAGACAGUGGGAGUGGCCUAUGUCCUAUACAAGUAUGUCGCUGGCAGCUGGAUCUUGGUCAAAGUCUUGGCAAUGAUAUUUGUCAGUGGUUUUCUCAAGUAUAGGGAGAGAGUAUGGGCGCUCAAGUCCUCCAGCCUGGACAACAUGAGUAAAUUCCUCGACAGUAGGAAGUUGAGUGAGGCUAAACGAAAACGGCGUCCACCAUGGACCCAAGGGGGGAGAUUGUAUCUUGAAGAGACUCUGCAGGAAGCUCUUGACCAAGGGGAGAAGUUUGAUCUUGAAGAGGUUCUACAGGGAGCUCAUGACCUGCUCCCCAUUUGCAUGGCUCAGUUGGUGGACUAUAAGUUCUGGCCAUCUACAUUGCAGAGUCAAACCGUAGAGCUAUUUGCUAACAAGGGCCAAAUGUUCGAGUUGGUUGAGAUGCAGCUCUCCUUGAUGUAUGAUUUCCUGUAUACAAAGGCAGUGGUGGUCUUCACAUGGUAUGGAUGCUUCAUCCGUGCCAUUUCAGCAGUUGCCACCAUCACCGCCUUCUUCCUAUUUCAAUCAAGCAUUGGCAAAAAUGACUUGAACAGAGUUGAUGUCAUUGUCACAUACAUCUUACUAGUUGGGGCUGUCUUCCUAGAAACAAUGGCAUUAUUGAAGCUAAUCGGAUCAACAUGGACAUGUGCAUUGUUGCGUGCUAGAAGAUGGCAUCGGCUUCACAACAUAGUUGUAUCUGUCCGGCGCUGUGUCAGGGCUGCAGAAAGAAAUAGAAGAUGGUCAGGUUCCAUUGGACAGCCCGAGUUGGUGAACUCGCCCCAUUUUUUUUUAGAAAUGGACUCGCCCCAUGGCAGUGGAGGUUGCGUGUCCGUGCAGUGCCUGGGAAUGGGAUGCAAAGAUUUGUGGAAGAAGCUGCACCACUCCUUGGCUGUCAUUUCAGAUGGUACUAAGAAGUCGGUGUUGGGAGAGGUAACAGCUAUAUCCAGGUGGGAUCUGCCUCUUUACCGUAGGUGA
rnacentral:rRNA from 1 species